rnacentral:tRNA from 1 species
AAGGAUAUAUUCGGAACAUCUCGUAGAGAUGAUACGGAAUAACGUGACAUAUUGUAUUCAGUUUUGAAUGUUUAUKUUAAAACAUUUAAAUAUUUAAUGGGCCUGUAGCUCAGCUGGUUAGAGCGCACGCCUGAUAAGCGUGAGGUCGGUGGUUCGAGUCCACUCAGGCCCACCAUUAAGUAUUAAUAAUUUGGGGGGCUUAGCUCAGCUGGGAGAGCGCCUGCUUUGCACGCAGGAGGUCAGCGGUUCGAUCCCGCUAGUCUCCACCAUUAAAUUUGUACAUUGAAAACUAGAUAAGUAAGUAAAUAGAUUUUACCAAGCAAAACCGAGUGAAUAGAGUUUUAAAWAAGCUUGAAUUCAUAAAAAAUAAUCGCUAGUGUUCGAAAGAACACUCACAGAUUAAUAACUAUAUUA